rnacentral:SRP_RNA from 1 species
GCCGGGCACGGUGGCUCAAGCCUGUAAUCCCAGCACUUUGGGAGGCCGAGACGGGCGGAUCACGAGGUCAGGAGAUCGAGACCAUCCUGGCUAACACGGCGAAACCCCGUCUCUACUAAAAAAAAUACAAAAAACUAGCUGGGCGAGGUGGCNNNNNNNNNNGCCACCUCGCCCAGCUAGUUUUUUGUAUUUUUUUUAGUAGAGACGGGGUUUCGCCGUGUUAGCCAGGAUGGUCUCGAUCUCCUGACCUCGUGAUCCGCCAGUCUCGG